UAGGGAAUCUUCGGCAAUGGACGAAAGUCUGACCGAGCAACGCCGCGUGAGUGAAGAAGGUUUUCGGAUCGUAAAACUCUGUUGUAAGAGAAGAACGUUGGUGAGAGUGGAAAGCUCAUCAAGUGACGGUAACUACCCAGAAAGGGACGGCUAACUACGUGCCAG
rnacentral:rRNA from 1 species